AGCAGCCGCGGUAAUUCCAGCUCCAAUAGCGUAUAUUAAAGUUGUUGCAGUUAAAAAGCUCGUAGUUGAAUUUCGGGGUCAGUAGGUCGGUCGUGCCAACGGUAUGAACUGGCCUCACUGAUUCCUCCCUCUUGUAGAACCGUGAUGCCAUUAACUUGGUGUUGCGGGGAAACAGGACUGUUACUUUGAAAAAUUAGAGUGUUUAAAGCAGGCUAACGCUUGAAUACAUUAGCAUGGAAUAAUGAAAUAGGACGUCGAUCUUAUUUUGUUGGUUUCUAGGGUUGACGUAAUGAUUAAUAGGGAUAGUUGGGGGCAUUAGUAUUCAAUUGUCAGAGGUGAAAUUCUUGGAUUUAUUGAAGACUAACUACUGCGAAAGCAUUUGCCAAGGAUGUUUUCAUUAAUCAAGAACGAAAGUUAGGGGAUCGAAGACGAUCAGAUACCGUCGUAGUC
rnacentral:rRNA from 1 species